AUCCUGGAGGAGAUGAGCAGGCAGCUGAGAGACCACCAGACCGUGGUGCGCUGGUUGGGGCUCAAAGGCCUCCUCAAUCUGGCCCGUCUCCCAGAGAAGGUGGGGAAACUCCAGCGUCUGCUGCCAGAUGUCCUGGAGCGACUCCAGGAGGUAGACAGAGCCCUCAUCCACAAGGCCAUCGCCGUGCUGAAACACCUCCUCGCCGGCAUGGACAGGCAGAGCGCCAGCUGCGCGGCUGUGCAAGUGGCUGAGCAACUCCUGCCAUUGUUUGAUGAUGUGACCAGCAAGCUCCGGGUGCUCUCCAUCACCCUUUUUAAAGACCUGCUGGAGCUUGUAAGGUGGCCCAACCGGAGUGAGAUGAAGGAGUAUGUGCUCCAGAGCCUGGUCCCACUGCUCCUCCUUGUUCAUGAUGAGCGUCCCAACGUGUCCCAGGUGUGUUGGGACACCCUCAGCAGUGCCGCCCAAUUCCUGAGGUGGCACCAGCUCAGUGGCCUCAUCCAGCACAAGGAAACCUGGCGAAUCUGUGACUGCCUGGUGAGGCGCUACAACGGGAGAGCUGAUGACUUCCUGUGCCAGACCAUGGCCUUCCUGCAGAACCCACAGACUCCAGUUAGGGAAGCAGCCAUCAGGUUCCUAGGGCUCACUGCCCGGCAGCUGGACCAGGGGAGCCAGAACAAGUUGAACGCCAUCUGCGAGAACCUCAAAGGCUUGCAGCAGGACAGCAAGUCCUCAGUCCGAUGCCUGGCUUCUCAGACUAUUUUCAUCCUGGAGGCCUUCAAGAACCAGCCUCCAGCCUGCUGCAGCCUAUGGACAUUGGUCCAUAGGAUAACAACAAUGUGCACUGAGGAUAGCCCGCUCAUUGAAGCUGCCCAGCUGCCCUAGCUCUGGGAAAAGCAAGCCUCCCUUCUCUGGGGGCUUGGUGCAUCAGAGCCCACCUGGAGCAAGGUGGAACACACGGCUUCUUCCCAAUUGGCUGCCUGCCCUGCCCAGCCAUAACACAGACCGCUCCACUGGAUCCCACAACCCAUACAGGGAGAAAGCCGUAGAAAAUGCUGACAUCUCCAAAAUCAUAUCAGGGCAAGAAAAGGCACUUGCUGUUUGCAACACUUGUACAGGACAGACACAGGGUGAGGGCUAGACUAAGUGGCCAUGGUUAGUCCUGCUCCAUCUCUACCGUCUCAGUUUCCAUCUACAGCUGUUCACACUCAAAAUGCAGGACAGGGAACCUGGCUAUGCCACUGCCUUAGUCAGCCCUGCCGCUGCAGCACACAUGGUAGCAGAUGAGACAGAAUGAGGCCCAGCUCCAGGAGGGUACCACAGCCAGUGCUGCGAAGGGAGCUGCAUGGCCUGUACGGCUGGGAGAGGACAAGGGUGGUCAUGGGGAGAAGAGAGCCUGGCAGAGACAAAAUACUGCAAAUUAUGUAGAAACAGGGCUGAGCAAAAUUGUCUCCAGUGUCCGUUAGGGUGGAUUUCCCUGCACCCAGCCACCCAGAAGCAGCCAGGGCUGUUCCAGGAUUUGCACCUUCGCAUGAGGCACAUCGGUGGGGGGUGCGGUCUGGACCGGGCACCUGGAAUUCCAGUCUCCACGGCUGGCGAGCUGCCCAGCAGUACGGCUGCAGGCUAUGAGUCCUGGGGGGGCUCGUGGCAUUUCUCACACUGGGUGGCAUAUGCAGAUGUGCUCAGCACUGGCCUCCUUCUGCUCCCACUGAGGUCAACAGAACGGCGCCUUCCCUCCCGCUUGCCAUGGGAGCAGAGUUAGGCUGACGCUGAGUGCUCUGGACUACCCCAUCCAGAGCGUCCCCUCCUCGCCAGGCUUUUGGCAGGCAGCAAGCCCCUGGAGCUGGCACGUACAGGAGAGCGGAAGUACAAAAGAUGGCUGGAGAACUCAGCUGGGAGGCAGCCGCCAGAGGAGCCAGAUGCCUCCUGUGAGCUCCCAAGCUGGAAGGCUGCUGCUGACCCCGAGGGAGCCGAGGACUGGCCAGGGCCAUUUACAGACCCAAGCAGGGAGGAGCUGCAAGCUGUGAAAGUAGAAUGAAUUAUAUUGUAAAAAUAAGAAUGGAUUAAAGAAAUGUUGUAUGUACCU